ACGUGGGGAACCGUGCCCCACUAGUCUGGGAUACCACUUGGAAACAGGUGCUAAUACCGGAUAAGAAAGCGGAUCGCAUGAUCAGCUUUUAAAAGGCGGCGUAAGCUGUCGCUAUGGGAUGGCCCCGCGGUGCAUUAGCUAGUUGGUAAGGUAAAGGCUUACCAAGGCGAUGAUGCAUAGCCGAGUUGAGAGACUGAUCGGCCACAUUGGGACUGAGACACGGCCCAAACUCCUACGGGAGGCAGCAGCG
rnacentral:rRNA from 1 species